AUGCAUGUGUUCUUCCCUGACCCUCCACCAUCUCUUCCUCCUCACGCUCGCUCCUUCCCUGCCGCGGACUCCAUGGGGAGCGCAAGCAAGCUCCGCCUCUGGUGCUCGGCGUUCGCCUGCGCGCUGGCGUUCCUCGGGGCGCACGGGGACGACGACCAUCUCGUCGACAUUACCUACGUCGAGAGCGCCGUGGCCAAGGGAGCAGUGUGCCUGGACGGGAGCCCCCCGGCGUACCAUCUCGCCCCGGGCUCCGGCUCCGGGGUGAACAGCUGGUUGGUUCAUUUCGAGGGAGGGGCGUGGUGCAACAACGCGGCGACAUGCCUGCAGCGGUCGCGCACCCCGUUGGGGUCGUCCAAGGAGAUGGCCAGGCGGGUUGCUUUCACCGGGAUCCUGAGCAACGCGUCGGAUUACAACCCUGACUUCUACAACUGGAAUAGGGUCAAGGUUCGGUACUGCGACGGCUCGUCUUUCACCGGCGACAAGGAAGAAGUUGAUCCUAGUACACAGCUACACUACAGAGGUGCGAGGGUGUGGCAAGCAGUUGUAGAAGAUCUGCUCGCCAAAGGAAUGAACACAGCUGAACAUGCUCUGAUUUCAGGAUGUUCUGCUGGUGGGCUAACUUCGAUACUGCACUGCGACAGAUUUCAUCAGCUCCUGCCAGUGGAUGCCAAUGUUAAAUGCCUUUCAGAUGCCGGUUUCUUCAUCAACGUGAAGGACAUUACCGGAGCCAACCACGUUGAGGCAUUUUUCAGUGAUGUGGGUACAACACAUGGCUCGGCAAAGAAUUUACCAUCUUCGUGCACUUCCAAGUUGCCUGCAGGCGUGUGCUUUUUUCCUCAGAACGAGGUGCAGCAGAUCCAGACGCCCCUGUUCAUCCUAAAUGCAGCAUACGACUCAUGGCAGGUACGGCACAUCCUGGUGCCCGAGGGCUCCGAUCCCGAAUGGCGAAGUUGCAGGGACGACAUAACCCAGUGCUCCGCGAAGCAGCUCGAGACGCUGCAGGGGUUCAGGGACGAUUUCCUGGCGGCGCUGGGGGCGAGCGCGUCCAGCGGAUCCAGAGGGCUGUUCGUCAACUCGUGCUUCGCGCACUGCCAGUCCGAGACGCAGGACAUCUGGUUCGCGCCCGCUUCCCCGGCGCUCGGAGACAGAAGAAUAGCGGACGCGGUUGGGGACUGGUUCUACGGCCGCAGCGGGUUCCAGAAGACGGACUGCCCCUACCCUUGUGACUCCACCUGCUACACUAAUUGA
rnacentral:rRNA from 1 species